UACGUAGGGUGCAAGCGUUGUCCGGAAUUAUUGGGCGUAAAGAGCUCGUAGGCGGCUUGUUGCGUCGACUGUGAAAACCCGCGGCUUAACCGCGGGCUUGCAGUUGAUACGGGCAGGCUAGAGUUCGGUAGGGGGAGACUGGAAUUCCUGGUGUAGCGGUGAAAUGCGCAGAUAUCAGGAGGAACACCGGUGGCGAAGGCGGGUCUCUGGGCCGAUACUGACGCUGAGGAGCGAAAGCGUGGGGAGCGAACAGG
rnacentral:rRNA from 1 species